AUUGAACGCUGGCGGCAUGCCUUACACAUGCAAGUCGAACGGCAGCACGGGGCAACCUGGUGGCGAGUGGCGAACGGGUGAGUAAUGUCUGGGAAACUGCCUGAUGGAGGGGGAUAACUACUGGAAACGGUAGCUAAUACCGCAUAACGUCGCAAGACCAAAGUGGGGGACCUUCGGGCCUCAUGCCAUCAGAUGUGCCCAGAUGGGAUUAGCUAGUAGGUGGGGUAACGGCUCACCUAGGCGACGAUCCCUAGAUGGUCUGAGAGGAUGACCAGCCACACUGGAACUGAGACACGGUCCAGACUCCUACGGGAGGCAGCGGUGGGGAAUAUUGCACAAUGGGCGCAAGCCUGAUGCAGCCAUGCCGCGUGUGUGAAGAAGGCCUUCGGGUUGUAAAGCACUUUCAGCGGGGAGGAAGGCGAUAAGGUUAAUAACCUUGUCGAUUGACGUUACCCGCAGAAGAAGCACCGGCUAACUCCGUGCCAUCAGCCGCCGUAU
rnacentral:rRNA from 1 species